rnacentral:rRNA from 1 species
UACAGGGGGUGCAAACGUUGCUCGGAAUCAUUGGGCGUAAAGCGCACGUAGGCGGUUCGUUAUGUCGGAUGUGAAAGCCCUUGGCUUAACCGAGGAAGUGCAUCCGAAACUGGCGAGCUAGAGUACUAAAGAGGAUCGCGGAAUUCCCGGUGUAGAGGUGAAAUUCGUAGAUAUCGGGAGGAACACCGGUGGCGAAGGCGGCGAUCUGGGUAGAUACGGACGCUGAGACGCGAAAGCGUGGGUAGCAAACAGG